rnacentral:rRNA from 1 species
CAAGCGGUGGAGCAUGUGGUUUAAUUCGAUGCAACGCGAAGAACCUUACCUGGUCUUGACAUAGUAAGAACUUUCCAGAGAUGGAUUGGUGCCUUCGGGAACUUACAUACAGGUGCUGCAUGGCUGUCGUCAGCUCGUGUCGUGAGAUGUUGGGUUAAGUCCCGCAACGAGCGCAACCCUUUUCCUUAUUUGCCAGCACUUCGGGUGGGAACUUUAAGGAUACUGCCAGUGACAAACUGGAGGAAGGCGGGGACGACGUCAAGUCAUCAUGGCCCUUACGACCAGGGCUACCCCCGUGCUACAAUGGUCGGUACAAAGGGUUGCUACACAGGGAUGUGAUGCUAAUCUCAAAAAACCGAUCGUAGUCCGGAUUGGAGUCUGCAACUCGACUCCAUGAAGUCGGAAUCGCUAGUA